rnacentral:pre_miRNA from 1 species
UACAUACUCCCUCCGUCUCAAAAUUCUUGUCUUAGAUUUGUCUAGAUACGGAUGUACCUAAUACUAAAAUGUAACUUGAUACAUCCGUAUUUAGACAAAUUUAAGACAAUAAUUUUAGGACGGAGGGAGUACAUA